CUAAGGUAGCGAAAUUCCUUGUCGGGUAAGUUCCGACCUGCACGAAUGGUGUAACCAUGGCCAUGCUGUCUCCACCCGAGACUCAGUGAAAUCGAAUUCGCCGUGAAGAUGCGGUGUACCCGCGGCUAGACGGAAAGACCCCGUGAACCUUUACUACAGCUUGGCACUGAACAUUGAACCUACAUGUGUAGGAUAGGUGGGAGGCUUUGAAGGCGUGACGCCAGUUGCGCUGGAGCCGUCCUUGAAAUACCACCCUUGUAUGUUUGAUGUUCUAACGCAGGCCCCUGAAUCGGGGUCGCGGACAGUGCCUGGUGGGUAGUUUGACUGGGGCGGUCUCCUCCCAAAGAGUAACGGAGGAGCACGAAGGUUAGCUAAUCCUGGUCGGACAUCAGGAGGUUAGUGCAAUGGCAUAAGCUAGCUUGACUGCGAGAGUGACGGCGCGAGCAGGUGCGAAAGCAGGUCAUAGUGAUCCGGUGGUUCUGAAUGGAAGGGCCAUCGCUCAACGGAUAAAAGGUACUCCGGGGAUAACAGGCUGAUACCGCCCAAGAGUUCAUAUCGACGGCGGUGUUUGGCACCUCGAUGUCGGCUCAUCACAUCCUGGGGCUGAAGUCGGUCCCAAGGGUAUGGCUGUUCGCCAUUUAAAGUGGUACGCGAGCUGGGUUCAGAACGUCGUGAGACAGUUCGGUCCCUAUCUGCCGUGGGCGUUGGAUGAUUGAAGGGAGUUGCUCCUAGUACGAGAGGACCGGAGUGAACGAACCUCUGGUGUUCGGGUUGUCACGCCAGUGGCACUGCCCGGUAGCUAAGUUCGGAAUCGAUAACCGCUGAAAGCAUCUAAGCGGGAAGCGAGCCCUGAGAUGAGUCAUCCCUGACCCCUUGAGGGUCCUAAAGGGCCGUUGGAGACCACAACGUUGAUAGGUGGGGUGUGUAAGCGCGGCGACGUGUUGAGCUAACCCAUACUAAUUACCCGUGAGGCUUAACCAU
rnacentral:rRNA from 1 species